ensembl:lncRNA
AGAGAGAGGCAGAGGCGGUAAGAGAGAGAGAGGGAGGUGGUGAUAGAGAGAGAGAGAGGGAGGGAGGCGGUGAUAGAGAGAGAGAGAGAGAGGAGGUGAUAGAGAGAGAGAGAGGGAGGCGGUGAUAGAGAGAGAGAGGGAGGCGGUGAUAGAGAGAGAUGGUGAUAGAGAGAGAGAGGCGGUGAUAGAGAGAGAGAGAGAGGCGGUGAUAGAGAGAGAGAGAGGCGGUGAUAGAGAGAGAGAGGCGGUGAUAGAGAGAGAGAGAGGCAGUGAUAGAGAGAGAGAGAGGGAGGCGGUGAUAGAGAGAGAGAGAGGCGGUGAUAGAGAGAGAGAGAGAGAGAGAGAGCGGUGAUAGAGAGAGAGACGGUGAUAGAGAGAGAGACGGUGAUAGAGA